rnacentral:rRNA from 1 species
UGGGGAAUUUCGGACAAUGGGGGAAACCCUGAUCCAGCCAUCCCGCGUGUGCGAUGAAGGCCUUCGGGUUGUAAAGCACUUUUGGCAGGAAAGAAACGUCGCGGGUUAAUACCCCGCGGAACUGACGGUACCUGCAGAAUAAGCACCGGCUAACUACGUGCCAGCAGCCGCGGUAAUACGUAGGGUGCAAGCGUUAAUCGGAAUUACUGGGCGUAAAGCGUGCGCAGGCGGUUCGGAAAGAAAGAUGUGAAAUCCCAGAGCUUAACUUUGGAACUGCAUUUUUAACUACCGGGCUAGAGUGUGUCAGAGGGAGGUGGAAUUCCGCGUGUAGCAGUGAAAUGCGUAGAUAUGCGGAGGAACACCGAUGGCGAAGGCAGCCUCCUGGGAUAACACUGACGCUCAUGCACGAAAGCGUGGGGAGCAAACAGGAUUAGAUACCCUGGUAGUCCACGCCCUAAACGAUGUCAACUAGCUGUUGGGGUCUUCGGACCUUGGUAGCGCAGCUAACGCGUGAAGUUGACCGCCUGGGGAGUACGGUCGCAAGAUUAAAACUCAAAUGAAUU